rnacentral:misc_RNA from 1 species
GUUCCAUGUCACAUCUCAUUGAUAGUGAGGCAUGAAAACACUUCAAUUGCACUUACCCCUUGUUUGCAUUUGACCCCAUGAAUGUUUGUCUUGGAUUAUGCACUAAUGGAUUCAAUCCUUUUGGGAAACGUUCUAAUCCUUACUCUUGUCGACCAAUAAUAAUUACAGUGUAUAACUUGCAUCCUUAGAUGGCUAUGAAAAAACCUUAUAUGUUCUUGAAUACUGCGGUUCUAGGUCCUAAAAGCCCUGGCAAGAGUUUGGAUGUGUUCUUGAGACUCUUAAUUGAUGAGUUGAAAAUGUUAUGGAAAGUAGGAUUUUUAACUCGUAAUAUUAAUACUAAGUAGAACUUUCAAAUGAAAGUAGCACUUUUGUGGACAAUAAAUGACUUUCCUACUACUUGAUCCAAAUCAUGUAGUAGAGUUAAAUACUCAUGAAUUGCAACAUUUAGUACAAUCAAGUAAAGAGGAGGAAGAUAAAGAUGAAGAGGACGAUGAAGAUGAAGACUAAGAUAAGAACGAGGACGAAGACAAAGAUGAGAAUGACAUCAAGGAUGAGGAUGAAAAUGAAGAGGAUAAGGAUGACAGUGUUGAUGGAGAUGACGGCAAUGAUAAAUAAUUUUCAUUAUUG